rnacentral:rRNA from 1 species
UACAGAGGGGGCAAGCGUUGUUCGGAAUUACUGGGCGUAAAGGGCGCGUAGGCGGCCUUCUAAGUCGAACGUGAAAUCCCCGGGCUCAACCCGGGAACUGCGUCCGAUACUGGAAGGCUUGAAUCCGGGAGAGGGAUGCGGAAUUCCAGGUGUAGCGGUGGAAUGCGUAGAGAUCCGGAAGAACACCGGUGGCGAAGGCGGCCUGCUGGGCAGUUGCUGACACUGAGGCGCGACAGCGUGGGGAGCAAACAGG